rnacentral:lncRNA from 1 species
UGAGAAAUUAAGUUCUCCGCCUUCAUAAUGGUGCUACAAAGCUGUAGCAGCCCUUGGUUACUUUUUCAGAAGUAUUUCUUGGCUCUAGCCUGUCAGCGACACUACAGAUCACCUAGAGAUCACCAGAUGACCUCCUCUGGUCUUGACCUUUUUUCCCACCCUUGCCUUCCCUUGUCCUGCUGGGUUGAGGCCCAGGCUCUGCUCCUCCGGAGUGCUUUGAGUCCAUUCCACCUUUUCUCCUACUCCUGGCUCUUCUCUUUGUUUGAAUCCUUCCUUUUCUUUCCUCCAGGCCUGCUUGAAGCCAUUCAGGAAACCUUUGCUGAGAGCCUCUGUCAGAGCUCCUCCCGCAAACUCUGCUGGAAACAGAUCUAGGUUGGAAUUUGCCCUUGACAAACACAAAAUGAUGAGUGACGCAAGUGAUAUGUUGGCUGCGGCGUUGGAGCAGAUGGAUGGGCUUAUAGCAGGUAAUCUGCGUCCUCUGAAAGAUGGAAUCAUGACAUUUACUCUGCACUUUUGGCUUUUUCAUUCCAACUCUUUUAUUACCUUUUCCACUUUAUUUUCAUUUAUUGGUUGCCUUUAGAUUCCUCGUGGUUUCACGUUAGCCCCUCUUCUCCAUUUUAUACCAGUAUCAUUCUCAAACUUUGUUUGAAAAUGUCUAAUUGCAUUUCCAUACUGUGGUUCUGACUCAAGGAGAAAGAAAGUACAUCUCGGGCAACGCUCUCAGGUUCCCUUCCUCCUCGGGAGCUUUGUACUAUCUGUACUUUACUGUACUCCCAAUAAACCUUGCUUUGCUGCCCCCUCCCCAAAAAAAAGUAAGUAAGUAUAUCUCAUGGGAUUUCGGUGCAGGUAGUAGCUACAGGUCACACUUUGAGAGAUACUGCUCUUCCUAGGAUCCAUGGAUAUUCUGAUCUAUUCCCUUGAAUUCGACAUUUAUUUUGCCACCAGUAACUCUCACUUAUAUUUACUUUCUCAAUUCUCUGCUAAGCAUUGGGUCUCUAACUGCCAAUCAGAUACCUCCUUUGAAAUAGCCUAUAUGCAUAUCCAUGUCAUCACAGAAAGCUUUGAAGUCUUUUUCUUUUCUCAGAAGCCUUUCUAGUAGUCUUUCUUAUCUAGUUUCAUAAUCGUCCAUCCACGCAGUUUUCUACCUAGAAAUUUAAGUCACAUUAGACCUUUGUCCUUCAGAGCCCCUGCUUAGUCAAGUUCUGUCACUUCUAUCUCCCUUUAAAAAUUCUGG